rnacentral:rRNA from 1 species
UACGUGGGGUCCGAGCGUUGUCCGGAAUUACUGGGCGUAAAGAGCUCGUAGGUGGUUUGUCGCGUUGUUCGUGAAAACUCACAGCUCAACUGUGGGCGUGCGGGCGAUACGGGCAGACUUGAGUACUGCAGGGGAGACUGGAAUUCCUGGUGUAGCGGUGGAAUGCGCAGAUAUCAGGAGGAACACCGGUGGCGAAGGCGGGUCUCUGGGCAGUAACUGACGCUGAGGAGCGAAAGCGUGGGGAGCGAACAGG